ensembl:lncRNA
GUAUAAUGACCUAUCAGGUCCUCUAUACUGGACUGUAUAAUGACCUAUCAGGUCCUCUAUACUGGACUGUAUAAUGACCUAUCAGGUCCUCUAUACUGGACUGUAUAAUGACCUAUCAGGUCCUUUUUUUCUGCAGCGGUGGCAAAGUUAGUGUAGUGGGUGUGGCCAAUGGCACGGUCUCCAACCGAAAAUGAGCAGAGAUAUUUUGGUGUUUUAAAGCUAAAUGUCCUUCAAUUCUACACAUGUUGCUGUGGCUUAUGGCGUGUUCUUAUGCUAUCUGAAUGACUCAAACAGUAUAACUAAAUCAAUGCGGGCCCCAGGACAUGAUAUUUGGGGAAUUUUGAUUCUCCUGACUAAUUUUUAUUUUGGUGAUUUAUAUUUUU